UAUUUAUACAGCAUUUACAUUGUAUGUACAACUAUUUACAUAGCAUUUACAUCGUAUGAGGUAUUAUAAGUUAUCUAGAGAUGAUUUAAAGUAUUCCGGAGGAUGGGGACUUCCCUGGUGGUCCAGUGGCUAA